rnacentral:lncRNA from 1 species
UGAAGGCCUGACGGCCUCUUCUGCCGAUCCUACCAGCUGUGGUGCCUAUACUGCUGCACAUCCUUACAUAUAGAGGUGGCUUGAUGAUGAUGAUCCAGAUAGUGUACUCGGGCGACAGGGGAUGCGACUUAGGCCAGCAGCAGCACUGAAACACACAUGCCGCGGGACACAUUGAUUUACUUAUGUUUUUACUUUGUGUAAAUAGUACAUUAUGUAAAUAAUGGUAACAAUUAUGUUUUAGAAACAAUUUUAUUUUAACUGCGUUUGAACAACAAUUUUACUUUAACAGUACAACACAAACACAAACCUUGCAAACCUAACACAAAAACAAACAGUAGAACUAAUGAAAACACUUGACAAAGGAAACAUAAAGAUACACUACACCGCUCAACACGUACAUGCCAUUGUUUAGUCACUACCGCCUAGUAUUCUCUACUCCAACCACUUGAGCUGGUCUUCCAGCUUUUUUUUUCUUCUUCGACCUCCUUGAGUUUCGCUUUCAACUCCGCAAUUUCUUGCUUGGAUUGGCGCUCUCUGUUCCGCUACCCCGUACACACAUUAUGAAGAUGAUACAACUUGUCUUUGUAGUAUUCUUGCUCACAUGGUUCAUCAAUCCACACCUUAAAAUUGCAUGUAGGUACGUCGGGUAGACUAUAAAACUUGUUCAUACACGCCUAGUAGCGGCGUCCGGCUUCUUCCCAACAAUCGUACACCAUGCUUUUGGUUCCGCAGUCGCACCUUGGGAAAUAAAGGGGUUGUUGAGACAUUUCUUAAAGAGAAACUUUGGUUUUAUGGAAAUAUUUGCUAUAGGUUGUUGUUAAGCGCAGAAAAUAACUAGAAUGCGCUCGUUAUUUAUAGGCAAGAUUUCACAUAAAAUGUAGUAUUAUACCACGCUUUACAUAUUAAAUUUCACUGAAACGAAACUGUUUUUUCACAUGGUUUUCAGCUUUUUCAGAACGACAAGAAAACUCAAUAAAACAUAGUAUUAUACCUUUCACACCUCCUUUUUCACUACACCCCGAAAGGUAUAAAGGAGUUUUUUCCAAAUUAAAGUGACAAUCGAAACAGGACUUAUUUUAUUACAAGUUCAGAGUCGCCACUUGGGAUAGUUUUACGGUGUCCCAAAUUACCGGUUAAAAUCCCGAAUCGAGGAAAAGAUUGACUCUGUAUUACAGUCCGCGAACACAGAAAUCCGGGUAAGGAAUUCUAUUAACCUGGGAGAAGGUGUUAGGCAUUCCCGGAUUCCGUGGUUCUAGCACGGUCGCUCAACUAUUAUAGUUGGCAUAUUAUCUGAUUUUAAUACAUCUUUGAAACUUAUGUACAUUUUAACUUUAAACCCGCUUUUAUAUUUUUUUGUGAAAAAUCAAGGUUAUUUAAAACACAUCGUAAGCCACACUACAUGAAAUGCACCCGCGGUUCACGAUACGCUUUAUUUAACCUUGUUAGAAAUUGGAGUCGGGUCACAUGAAAUGCUCACCCGAGCCUCUUUAAUCUAAUUUGACGUAGUUCAGUUGAUGAAUAACAACCCAAUUUCUAUACUGUGACAAAAUCAUGUUCAGUUAUAACCAAUUCGAGUAAACACAAACAGAUAACCAAGCAAGCAAAUUCAAAACCACGGAGAAUAUUUACAGAAAUAACGGGAUUGCAUCACCAAACAAAUAAUUAACAUCAAGCUCGAAUAAAACAAAUAGAGUAUGAAAGAGUUGACCUUAUUAUAGCCGGAAAAUUGAUCGUUUCACUAUUUUGAACUCAUAAAUGUGACCGUAGACGGACCUCGACUUAGCACCGCAAAACUCAAACAAACCCGGAUUCAACACCAAACGAGCUCAACCAAUGAACUUCCGACAUUAAAACUCCAACUCAGUUUCUAUUUUGAUUUUGCUCUUUUCGAAAUGAAAUUAAAUCAAUAGGAACCAGCAGAAAGGAACCAGCAAAUCAGUUGUCAUCGCGUAGAUACAAAGAGACAUAAAAACGGCUACUUAUGCAAAAUCAACAGAAAGAGAAAAGAAGAAGCCAAUAGAACAGAAUAAGGUGAGCUCUCUUCAAUUAAAAUUUCCCUCUGAGCAGUAUACACAAGCAAAAAGGAAACCAUGACCAACUCUUUCACUAUGUGAAAAUCAGCAAGUACAAAGGAAUCUGGUAAUGAAAAUUUGAACGAAAACAGCGACAAAUCGCUACAGGGACUUGAACCAACAAAACUCGACUCCGACUAACACCUUAGAUAGGAAACCGAAUCGAAAAUCAGAAGAAAACCAGAAGUUGACAUGAAAAUUGAAAGGAUUGAGUUCGAAAUCAGAAUGAAAUAAAAGACGUUCGUUCACCUCCCCUGUUCUCAUUGUCCGCUUUGUGUGUUCCGAGGAAGCCGAGUCCUUGUUUUUGGGGUCUAGGUUUGCUGUUCUCUUCUUCAGUAAGAGUGAGAUAUGGGAGAUGGGAGCUUGGCGAAGGUGAGCAGGGGUGUGCGUUCAACAACUGGUCUUGAAUGGUCGACCAGACCCACCGGUGAUCAAAUCCGGCGAUUGGUUAGGGAAGCUUAGGGAGUUCGACCAUCUGCUUCGGAGAUGAUGAUAAGGAUGUGGCUAUGGAGGAAUUAAGGGUGGCUCUUUGGCGUGGAGGUCCAGAGGUGAUCAGCGGCUGGUGGCCGACUGAUGUUCCGCCGGUGAUGAGGAAAAGAGGGGGUCGUUUGGAGAAGAUAAGGUCAGGAGGUA